rnacentral:rRNA from 1 species
AUUGAACGCUGGCGGCAGGCCUAACACAUGCAAGUCGAACGAGUGGCGGACGGGUGAGUAUGUCUGGGAAACUGCCUGAAGGAGGGGGAUAACUACUGGAAACGGUAGCUAAUACCGCAUACCAUCAGAUUUGCCCAUAUGGGAUUAGCUGGUCGGGGGGGUAACGGCUCACCAAGGCGACGACCCCUAGCUGGUCUGAGAGGACGACCAGCCACAAUGGAACUGAGACACGGUCCAGACUCCUACGGGAGGCAGCAGUGGGGAAUAGUGCACAAUGGGCGCAAGCCUGAUGCAGCCAUGCCGCGUGUAUGAAGAAGGCCUUCGGGUUGUAAAGUACUUUCAGCGUGGAGGCGUUACCCGCAGAAGAAGCACCGGCUAACUCCGUGCCAGCCGCCGCGGUAAUAC